rnacentral:rRNA from 1 species
AUUGAACGCUAGCGGCAUGCCUUACACAUGCAAGUCGAACGAGUGGCGGACGGGUGAGUAAUAUAUCGGAAAGUGCCCAGUAGCGGGGGAUAACUACUGGAAACGGUGGAUAAUACCGCAUACUCUUGGAUGGGCCCAAAUGGGAUUAGCUAGUUGGUGGGGUAAAGGCUCACCAAGGCAACGAUCCCUAGCUGGUCUGAGAGGAUGACCAGCCACACUGGGACUGAGACACGGCCCAGACUCCUACGGGAGGCAGCAGUGGGGAAUAUUGGACAAUGGGGGCAACCCUGAUCCAGCCAUCCCGCGUGUAUGAGAAGGCCUUCGGGUUGUAAAGUACGUUUAGCAGGGAAGCGGUAUCUGCAGAAUAAGCACCGGCUAACUACGUGCCAGCAGCCGCGGUAAUAC